CUCCUGCGCGCCCUUUGUUUUGUCUUUCUUGUUCUUUCUUCUCUUUUUGUCCCAACGUUGGGACGAGAGAGAAAGAAAGAGAGACCGAAAGAUCGAGAUGGAGAGAAUCAGAGAGAACUUGAGGGAGGCGUGCGGUGGGCUAUCCACCGUUUGGGGCGGACGACGGCGCCCGGGCCGGUGGGACACGGCCCAACGCCGGUGAGGCCAAAAAGCUUGGAGUUCCGGCAUUUUCUCGGUACCCAAACAAUAUAAAAUCCAUUUUUUUUUGGGAUCUGUAUGUCCAUGUAGGCUGGCCUUUAUAUCGGAACCGGAAAUAUAGUCAUGCUUUUGAGGCAUUCAAAAUAAUUGUGACGGAUCCUGAUUCUGUUCUGAAUUCUCUUACCCGCGAAGUCCAAAGAAAUUGGCCCUGAUGGAAGAGAGGUGACAAAGGUGGUUCCUGCUAUGUCGGAGGAUGUGAAAGAAGCUUUGGUAAAAAAUAUUAGGAGAAGGUGACCCCCACAACCAUUGAAGAUUCGGGCCGACAUUGAAAUGAAAUGCUUCCAGUUUGGUGGUGUUCUUCACAUGAAGGAUUCCAUGCGGAAAGUUGAAGCUACUGGCACUGAUGAAUGCCCCUGCAGGAUUCCAUGUGCACUUUAUGUUCUUACCACUCAAGACUCUUGACAAGUACUGCCCUCAUCUCGCCGCCGGUGUCGCCUUACCUCUCCACGACACGUCGACGCCACCAACUCCAGCCCACUUCACCAGCUCGAUCUCCUCCCUCGAACCCAUCGAGAAUGGGGUACUACUGAGGAUUUUGAUUUAGGUUUUUCUUCUUCUGUAAGGUGAAACCCCUGAUUUCGAUUUAGUGUUUUUGUUUUAGGAUUUUUAGAUUAAAAUAUGCUAUAAACCUAUGUGCUCUGUUUUUGCUGGGUUGCGGAAUUGCUGGAAAGUGGAAAUUUUGGGUAAGUAAGAGGAAAUUUUGGAAAGCGGAAAUUUUGGUUCACAAGCAUACAUGAAUUAUCAAAGUACAGAUAUCAAGAACUUGAGCCAAUAGGCUAAUGAGCAAAUCAAAGGAAGAGAUACUCUGCUGUUGGGCCAAUAGGCUAACGAGCAAAUCAAAGGAAGAGAUCUUACAGCUUGGGUUCUAAACUCCAUUGCUGAACAGCUUUUUCUCCAAAGCUCCCUCCACAGGAACCAGUUUGCCUGCGACUUUGAACAUCUUUCUGAGUUCCAAAGCUCAAAAAAUAAAAAUGGGUAUAUGUCCUUGACCCGAUCCCUCUCUUGUGCAUCACAAUCUAAGGCGAAAAUCGAAAUAGGAGCACUUUGGAUCCUUAUUGUGCUCUUUUGUUUUAGAGAGGCACAUAAUUUUACUUAUCUAGAAAAGGAAGGAACAUAGGUUACUAUAUUGCUUUUGACACACAAUUUGACUAAUAUUGAAGUAAAAAAAAUGUGUCCAAAAGAGACAAUACGAUAUUAUCACAAACAGUAUUAGGAUUAUAUUCCUUGAUAUAUAUUGGGUUAUUUCUGAUUGUUCUUGCAUAUUUGG